GUUUCAUGAGGCCAGCAUCUCCAGUUCUCCAACUCCAGUUCUCCUGUGCACUCCUGCAGCUAAAACAAGCGAAGCAGAUCAAGAGAACUCAAAGGAAAGGACCCGAAGACUGAACACACCUGUGUAACCAGUAUCCAGAACAAGAAAGAACAUUACAAGCCUUCCAGAAGCCUCUUUGUUCCCUCUACCAAUCACUGUAAUAUUUUCUAAUGACAGAGUUUGCUCUCACAAGAGCAAUCCGGAAGUAUUGUAUUCCAAGAGAUCUUCCUGGGACUUGCUUCCUGCCUUCAGCACCAGAAUGAUGCAGUACCCAAAGGAUGGGCAGUAACUUGAGAAGGCACCCCAGAGGCAACAUGUCACCUGGCCUGAGCCUCCUGC